AACAGCAUACGAGCUCACUGUAAGAUUCGCCACGGACAGCGUAGAGCUGGUGACGGAGCAACCCAGACUUAGUGUGAUUGAAGUCUUCGGCUACAUUGGCGGCUAUCUAGGAAUAUGGCUUGGGUUUUCUUUACUUCAAGCCCUCGAGUACUACCACAAUUUAAUCAGGCGGAAAUGUGCAAACUGUCCCUGGCUUUCACGCAACGUACAACGGAAGAGUGCAGACACACGGAAACGUUCCAACGUAGAAGGCAGAAUUACGGGCAUUUUUUCGGUUUCCAGAACAGAGCUAAAAUGACUUUUUUGUUAGCGAUCUUAAACUGCUCUCGUCCACAAAACGAAUAUAAGUAAUUUAUGUUUCUUAGGGUUGCAUCUACGUUUGGAAACUGGUAGCACGGAACCGUCAUG
rnacentral:lncRNA from 1 species